CUCCAGUCUUCACCUUCACCUUGGACGUCAUCUCCUGGCUUCCAGUGCAAACUCUUCAACUUCUGUGGCAGAUCCUUCAGCCUUCCAGUGUAGACUCUUCAGCUUUCUAUCGCAGACCUAUCGGCCUUCUGUUAUGGACUCACACGGGACACUGCAAUGAGCUCCAGACCUUCAACUAAAUCCUUCAGGCUCCAAUGUGCAGACAGAUCCUCUGCACCCUUCCUCAUCUGACUGUGGGCGUCCAUUGUAUAAAGAUAGGUGCCCCCAUCAAAGGAAGAAGUUGUUCUGAGAAAAUAAAGACAUUAUACAGAAGGCGGUACAGGCAUGGUGCUGUUUCUGCUGUUUACAACAAUCUUGGUUGACUGCCACUUUAUCCAAGGGACAUCUCUACCUUGUGCCACUGAAUACCACCUUCUUACCAGUCACUGCUGCCUCAUACUUGGGUAUGAACCAGCCCAAGGUCCAUCCCUGGACAUGGAACAUAGUUUGGCGGUUGUCAGAAGCUUGGAGAAGAGAAUGGGGAGCAACUGUUUAAUUGGUAUAGCGUUUUCUUUUGGGGCAAUACAAAUGUUUGGAAACUAAGUUAAGGUGGUGGUUGUACAACAUUAUGAAUAUACCAAAUGCCAUAGUGUGUGUGUGUGUUUGUACUGGGGAUGGAACCCAGUGCCUUGUAU